rnacentral:rRNA from 1 species
AGAGUUUGAUCAUGGCUCAGAGCGAACGCUGGCGGCAGGCCUAACACAUGCAAGUCGAGCGGCCGUAGCAAUACGGCAGCGGCAGACGGGAGAGUAACACGUGGGAACGUACCCUUCAGUUCGGAACAACCCAGGGAAACUUGGGCUAAUACCGGAUAAGCCCUUACGGGGAAAGAUUUAUCGCCGAAGGAUCGGCCCGCGUCUGAUUAGCUAGUUGGUGGGGUAAUGGCCCACCAAGGCGACGAUCAGUAGCUGGUCUGAGAGGAUGAUCAGCCUCACUGGGACUGAGACACGGCCCAGACUCCUACGGGAGGCAGCAGUGGGGAAUAUUGGACAAUGGACGAAAGCCUGACCCAGCAACGCCGCGUGAAGGAUGAAAUCCCUCGGGAUGUAAACUUCGCAAGAACGGGAAGAAUAAGCCGGUGCAAAUACCAUCGGCGAUGACGGUACCGUUUGUAAGCUCCAGCUAACUCCGUGCCAGCAGCGGCGGUAAUUC